rnacentral:rRNA from 1 species
GACGAACGCUGGCGGCGUGCCUAAUACAUGCAAGUCGAACGAACCGCGACUGGGUGCUUGCACUUGGUCAAGGUGAGUGGCGAACGGGUGAGUAACACGUGGGUAACCUACCUCAUAGUGGGGGAUAACAGUCGGAAACGACUGCUAAUACCGCAUAGGACAUAGGAUCACAUGAUCCAGUGAGGAAAGGUGGCGCAAGCUAUCGCUAAGAGAUGGACCCGCGGUGCAUUAGCUAGUUGGUAGGGUAAAGGCCUACCAAGGCGAUGAUGCAUAGCCGACCUGAGAGGGUGAUCGGCCACAUUGGGACUGAGACACGGCCCAAACUCCUACGGGAGGCAGCAGUAGGGAAUCUUCCGCAAUGGACGCAAGUCUGACGGAGCAACGCCGCGUGAGUGAAGAAGGUCUUCGGAUCGUAAAGCUCUGUUGUUAGAGAAGAACAGCGCAUAGAGUAACUGCUAUGCGUGUGACGGUAUCUAACCAGAAAGCCACGGCUAACUACGUG